rnacentral:misc_RNA from 1 species
GAUGAAGAACGUAGUGAAAUGCGAUAAGUAAUGUGAAUUGCAGAAUUCAGUGAAUCAUCGAAUCUUUGAACGCACAUUGCGCCCCUUGGUAUUCCGAGGGGCAUGCCUGUUCGAGCGUCAUUAUAACCCCUCAAGCUCAGCUUGGUGUUGGGGCCUGCUGCACUGGCAGCCCUUAAAAUCAGUGGCGGCGCCAUCUGGCUCUAAGCGUAGUAAUUCUUCUCGCUAUGGAGUCCUGGUGGAUGCUUGCCAACAACCCCCAAUUUUUCUAUGGUUGACCUCGGAUCAGGUAGGGAUACCCGCUGAACUUAAGCAUAUCAAUAAGCGGAGGA